AUUGAACGCUGGCGGCAUGCCUUACACAUGCAAGUCGAACGGCAGCACGGUCUUCGCUCUGUUUGCCAGUUGCGAACGGGUGAGUGAUUUAUCGGUACAUCCCUUUCUAUUUUUUCUUACGUAUCGCGAGUUACGCUAUUCCCUCAUAUUCUGUGCGCACUACAGCAGGAGAUCGAAAGACCUUGCGCUUAUUGCGCUUCCGAUAUCAGAUUAGCUAGUUGGUGGGGUAAAGGCCUACCAAGGCGACGAUCUGUAGCGGGUCUGAGAGGAUGAUCCGCCACACUGGAACUGAGACACGGUCCAGACUCCUACGGGAGGCAGCAGUGGGGAAUUUUGGACAAUGGGGGCAACCCUGAUCCAGCCAUGCCGCGUGAGUGAAGAAGGCCUUCGGGUUGUAAAGCUCUUUUGGCCGGGAAGAAAAGGAAUAGGCUAAUACCCUGUGUGGAUGACGGUACCGGAAUAAGAAGCACCGGCUAACUACGUG
rnacentral:rRNA from 1 species